rnacentral:rRNA from 1 species
CAGUAGGGAAUAUUGGGCAAUGGAUGCAAGUCUGACCCAGCCAUGCCGCGUGCCGGAUGAAGGCCCUCAGGGUUGUAAACGGCUUUUAUUCGGGAAGAAGAGCAGGGAUGCGUCCUUGUGUGACGGUACCGAAUGAAUAAGCACCGGCUAACUCCGUGCCAGCAGCCGCGGUAAUACGGAGGGUGCGAGCGUUGUCCGGAUUUAUUGGGUUUAAAGGGUGCGUAGGUGGCUUUAUAAGUCAGUGGUGAAAUACGGUUGCUCAACAAUCGAGGUGCCAUUGAUACUGUAAAGCUUGAAAUAAUUGGAGGCUGCCGGAAUGGAUGGUGUAGCGGUGAAAUGCAUAGAUAUCAUCCAGAACACCGAUUGCGAAGGCAGGUGGCUACGAUUGGUUUGACACUGAGGCACGAAAGCAUGGGGAGCAAACAGGAUUAGA